GAAGUUAGUGCUUUUGCUGCCUGUGUUAUUCUGUGGGUAAAAACACUGAAUUUAUGCAGAACACUGCAAAAACUUCCAGCAAACCUCUUUUGGAGAUCACAGACUUCUUAUAUUGGAUCUGUGGCCCUUGCUAUACAAUCUUUUCUGUACAUGUUUUCUCUAGUACUGUGCAGGUGUUGUGCAAGGUGAGGAGAAUCAGCCUGCU